rnacentral:piRNA from 1 species
UAGGUAUCUCAUUGGUGUCUUGUGCUUGAU